GCAUAAUCAAUAGUUUUUUAAUUGAAGACUGGGAUGAAAGAUAAAUUCUGAGGAGAAAGUUUUAUUUAAUAAAUUUGAAUUUUAAUUAAAAGUAAAAAUGCUUUUGUUAAAUUUUAGGACGAGAAGACCCUAGAAGCUUAUAAUAAAUUAUAAUAAUUCAAUAGAAUUAAUUAUUCAAUAUUUUUUAUUGGGGCAAUAUUUGAAGAAAAAAAUUUUUAGUUUAAAAUUAGAAAAUUUUAAAAGUUACUCUAGGGAUAACAGGGUAAUUUAAUUUAAGAGUUCUUAUUAAAAAUUAAGUUUGCUACCUCGAUGUUGAAUUAAAA
rnacentral:rRNA from 1 species